rnacentral:lncRNA from 1 species
AUGCCAGGCACAGUAAAACAAGAUAAGGUUGCUGGCAAGGCUUCUCCAUUAGCUUGGCUAUAUAAAGUUUUGAAGCACACUGGGCCUCCUGCAGGUGUGUCUGCAGGGAGGACUUUCCCAGCUCCUUUGCUGAUUAGUGUGCAGAAGCCCCACUUCCAUCGCAGGGGUCCUCUGAGUGACAAACGUACAGGAGAGAAGGAAUCACUGGAGUCAAACAACAUCUGGAAACAAAUUGUGGAGGAACUGCAGAAAGGGCCUGACAUGGACAUACAGGUUCUGUGGAAGGCAGCAUUUCCUGCAGGCAGCGGUCACUCGUCGGCAGCCUCUGCUGCAGGAAGGAAUGGGAUGGCACACAUGAGUACGGGCCCAGACACAGGAGGUAAUUGCUGUGCUGGGCUCAGCCCUCGGCGGGGCUGUGUGCCAGCAGCUCUCCCCCCAGGGCCGGCCCUUGCACAGUGCGGCGGCAGCCAAAGCUGGAGGUGCCUCAGCUCCGAGGCCUCUGGAGCUCGUUCCCAGCCCUUGGGAAAUGGGACUCAUGCACCAACAUCACUCCCUCUGCAGCUGCUCCCAGAGCUGGUCCUGAGUGCCCAGAGGCCCAAGGCACAGGAGCAGGGAGUGGGAGCCCUGCUGAGAGCCCAGGGCCACAGCCAGCCCUGGCACACCAUGGGAGUGAUUCUCAUCUUGGUUUACUUCUAGAUUUGGUUGCUGGGAAGGCUCGUUCCUUAGCCUUGAGAUAUGAAGAUUUGAAGCCCUCUGGGCCACCUGCAGGUAUAUUCAUUAUAUAUAUUAUUAUUAUAUAUAUAAUAAGGAAUAAUCAUUAUCAACCUGUCAGGGACCACGUGACAGAAGCUUCUGUGGCUGUUUUAGUUACAGGUGUGUCUGCAGAGAGGAUUUCUCCAGCUCCUGGGCUGGAUGCUGCACACAAGCCUGACUCCCAUCCCAGCGGUGAGUAGGGUGUCCUUGCUGACCCCACAGCCUGAGCACUGCUUUUCUGGGAUCCAUUCCUGGGAGGUUGAAAUAUUUUUUCUUAAGUUCCUCCAACAGAAAAGACCAAACACACCUCAGAGAAGAAAUCCCAGGAGCGAUUUGAAGUCAUGUGGAAAAUGCUGAAGGAAUGCUACAGGGAGGACAAG